rnacentral:rRNA from 1 species
UUAGCUAGUUGGUGAGGUAACGGCUCACCAAGGCGACGAUGGGUAGCCGGCCUGAGAGGGUGAACGGCCACACUGGGACUGAGACACGGCCCAGACUCCUACGGGAGGCAGCAGUAGGGAAUAUUGCGCAAUGGAGGGAACUCUGACGCAGCGACGCCGCGUGAGCGAUGAAGGUUUUCGGAUCGUAAAGCUCUGUCCUUGGGGAAGAAGGGUGCGAAGCAUCUUGACGGUACCUAAGGAGGAAGCCCCGGCUAACUACGUGCCAGCAGCCGCGGUAAUACGUAGGGGGCAAGCGUUGUCCGGAAUUAUUGGGCGUAAAGGGUGCGUAGGCGGCCUUUUAAGUCAGAUGUGAAAGACCACGGCUUAACCGUGGGGUUGCAUUUGAAACUGGAGGGCUUGAGUAUCGGAGAGGGUAGUGGAAUUCCCAGUGUAGCGGUGGAAUGCGUAGAUAUUGGGAGGAACACCAGUGGCGAAGGCGACUACCUGGACGAAAACUGACGCUGAGGCACGAAAGCUAGGGGAGCAAACAGGAUUAGAUACCCUGGUAGUCCUAGCCGUAAACGAUGGGUACUAGGUGUAGGAGGUUUCGAUACCUUCUGUGCCGCAGUUAAC